CAGUUUCGAUAUAGGCUUACUCUGAAGACCAGUGGAACCAGAGGACUGUCACCAUGCCACCAGCUGCAUUUCUACUGUCAUCACAGUCAAGUGCUUUGACUCAUCCUCCACACUAAUGAAACUCAUAGGAGGAUUCACUUGAGUCAGUUCCUUAACUCUGGCUCACUGAGUUUCCCUGUUGAGUGUUUUGCUGCUUGGAAAAUGGGAGGAACAGCUAUCGAUGCAUCCCACUAAGAAAGUAGAGAGCAGAAGACAGAUGCAUAAGCAGAAAAUGGAUUGCCAACACUGUUGUCACAUUAAGCACGUGUGGUACAAAAGGAUCUAGCAGGAUGGAAAGUGAGAAAUGCAUCCUCAGGUCCAGGCGAGCCCCUUGCCACAUGCCAUUCUUCAUUUAAAGGGCAACCCUCUUCUGUUAAUCUCUCAGGUGCCCUCAUGGUCUGCAGGCUGCACAGAGCUCCCGGUCCAGCCAUCAUGCCUGAGGUCCAGGCAUCGAGAAAGAGGAAGAGGCCAGGGCAGAAGAGAACCUCACAGAGAAUAAUGGGA
rnacentral:lncRNA from 1 species